rnacentral:rRNA from 1 species
GGGUAAACCUGAGAAACCCGAAAGGUCGAAAGAGGAAAUUCAUUCGCGUUUCGAUCGUCGAAGUCGAACGUUCGUAUGACGAACGACGUUUCGGCGUCGUUUGCUUCCUACGUUUUUCUAAUCGAUGUCGAACGCGUGCACUUUUCCUCUAGUAGGACGUCGCGAUCCGUUGGGUGUCUGUCUAAGACUCGGGGCGGAGCCCGUGCGGUUAUUAUUAUUUUAAUCGUGCGGACCCUCGAUGUUCCGACAGACUCGCUCGACGGUACGCUAAUGGCGUGGGGCCGCUAUCUUUUUAGCGUUCGGCCCGUAGCAAGCGCGUUUUGUGUUUGACGGUCAUCGGAUCUAACGCCGAUCUCGUCCCGAAACGACUGUUGGUUACGGCGUUCUCGAACAGACCUCAUCGUUCGAUUUUUCGAAAUCGAAACGCCGAUCAGCGACGCUAUAGAUUUGGGUACUUUCAGGACCC